AACUCCAAGGAAGUGGAGAAAAAACAGUGAGGAAGAUCAAGAGAAAGUAAGGUAGUUUAGAGACAAGUUUUUUCGUUUAACAUUCUUUAGUUUCUUUGUUAGUAUGACAUGAUCCAUGGAUAAGUUUUUCUAUUAUUGUGCAUUCACAUUAUUAUUCGCUGCUUUGAAAUCACUAAAUAUGUGCCUAUGGUUUCUUUCAUAAUUCUUCUUCUUCAUCAUCUUUGUUAUGAGUUUUAUGGCUCUUAAUAUACUUGGUUGUCUCUAUUUCAUAUCCAUAUGUGUCACUAACUAUUGACUUAAUUUAAAAUUAUUUUAUUAAUUUUUAAUUAUCCCAUUUGAAUUAAAAUGUUUGAACUCUAUUUAUUUAAUUUUUUCUAUCGCCAAUCUUUGUAUGAUAAUUGAGUUAGGAUAUAUCUAUUUAAAAAACAAUGAAUAUUGCUCAAAAUAAAUUUACUUCUGUAUAUAAAUUCUUUAGUUAAUUGGAUAUUUUUACUAACAUUUUGACCAUUAGAAACUUAAUGAAACUGUUCAUUGCUUUUUAUAAUAAUAUAAUAUUUCGCCAACUAAUAACAAUAAUAGUAUUACCGUUAAUGUUGAUGUUUUUGUUCAUUUCCGUAUGAUUAUUGUUUAUAAAUAUUUUAUUAUUUGAUAUGUAUAUAUAAUAGGGUUACAUUAUUGAUUCUUAGGUCAUAUUUCAAAAAUAAUAUAAUUAAUAAAAUCUAUAUUAUAUAAAGCCAAAAUAUGGUAUGACCACCAUGGUAUAAUUUAUAUAUUCAUAUUUUACGCUUUAAUUUUUUAAUUUAAAAAAAAACAAUAUAAUCCUAUAUAACCAUCUCAAACACAUUAAUUAUAAGUUGUAUAUUCUAUAAAGACAAAAAAUAUAAUAUAAAGUAAAUACAAUACAAAAAAUAUAUUUUAAUUCUACAAAAUCUAUCUAUAUCUAUAUCUAUACUAUAUAUAAAGUCAAAACACCACCAUCAUGGUAUAAUUUAUAUAUUCCUAUUUUACCCUUCAAUUUUUUAAUUAAAAAAAAACAAUAUAAUCCUAUAUAACCAUCUCAAACAUGUUAAUUAUAAGUUGCAUAUUCUAAUAAAGACAAAAAAUAUAAUAUAAAGUAAAUACAAUACAAAAAAUAUUUUAAUUCUACAAAAUGAAAUGUAUAAAAAUUAAUUACUUAGUACUUUAAAAUAAGAAUGUGACCGACAAACACUCGACAUACAUGAAGUGUUUGUCACACACUAAUACUAAUAAAGAAUAUAAAUACUAAAACUUUGCUAAAUUAGAAUGUAGUAUAAAUGUUUAUAAACUAACUGAUUUCAAAUUUUGUAAGAUAAAAUGUUAACAAGAUCUAGAAGUUUAUCCAUUACUGUUGGUUUUGACUAAACAUCUUGACUUUUGUUUAUCAAUUAAGGUAAGCUACAAUGGAAGCAACUUCAAUGAAGAUGAUGAUAAUGUUGUUACUCGUAUUACUCCUUGUUGCUUCUACUUUGAUGGAAAGUGCAAAUGCGAAUGUUAAAUGUUGUGAUUGUUGUCAAGUGAGGAGUGGUUGUUGCUUUUGUUGUAUUAAGAGUAAACUCUUGAAUAUGAAAAAGUAGUAACUUUAUGUUGCUUUCUUCAAAUUUACAAUAAUUUGAUUGAGUUUGAAGAAAGAUGAUUUAAUAUACAAAAUAAACUAUAAUAAAAGAGG
rnacentral:lncRNA from 1 species